rnacentral:lncRNA from 1 species
GCUAUGCUUCUGUAAGUUAGCUGUGUAUAUGAGCCAAGGUCUGGUGUGCCAUGUAUUGAGUGCCUGAAGUCUUAUAGAUGGCAGGUGUUUGUGAUUCAGACAGCAAAGUUGCUGCAGCAGGGGGCUGCACAGAAUCCUCUCUUGGGGGGUUGAGAAAGCCAUAGGCUGUUAUUCAGAAGAACCGACACGCACAAGCGAUCGCUGCUGAGUUACCCUGACUUUUGGAAUCAGCAUUUUAAAAGUUGGAAUCAGGGCUGUCUAAUGCAAACUUGUUUUGACACAGCUGCCAUUUCAGAUUCAAAUAACAGAGUUUUGCCGGGAAGAAGCAGCACACACACUGAAGUUAUUCCACAAGGCUGUGCCGGAAGCCACCUACGGCACUGCUUCCUGGGGCCAGAGUUCUGCCAGCUCACAUCAGAGCACUGGAUGAAGAUGGAGACAGUGUCCCUGAGAUGUGCGACCCAGAUGACUUUCCAACAAAGAGGGACUUCACCUCUGUGCCUGCACCCCGCUCUGAGAGACGCCCGUGGUUUCUGGCUGGCUCGCCACCCAGUGGUUCGCCCAACCUUGGAACACAUCCUCCCUUUUCUCUGCUCGCUGAUGAGAUAUAAUUUAUGUUGAUUCAACUCUUCACAAAUUGCCAUCUGUCAGCUUUGCUUUUUUGAAUCCCUCAUCCCGUGCCUUCGCUGCGUUCAGUUGGACUGGCAGAGGCUCCGGUAUGGGC